AUACGUAGGGUGCGAGCGUUGUCCGGAAUUACUGGGCGUAAAGAGCUCGUAGGUGGUUUGUCGCGUCGUCUGCGAAAUUCCGGGGCUUAACUCCGGGCGUGCAGGCGAUACGGGCAUAACUUGAGUACUGUAGGGGAGACUGGAAUUCCUGGUGUAGCGGUGAAAUGCGCAGAUAUCAGGAGGAACACCGGUGGCGAAGGCGGGUCUCUGGGCAGUAACUGACGCUGAGGAGCGAAAGCAUGGGUAGCGAACAGGAUUAGAUACCCUGGUAGUCCAUGCCGUAAACGGUGGGCGCUAGGUGUAGGGGUCUUCCACGACUUCUGUGCCGUAGCUAACGCAUUAAGCGCCCCGCCUGGGGAGUACGGCCGCAAGGCUAAAACUCAAAGGAAUUGACGGGG
rnacentral:rRNA from 1 species